AGAGUUUGAUCAUGGCUCAGGAUAAACGCUGGCGGCGCACAUAAGACAUGCAAGUCGAACGAACUUAACUCAUUCUUUUAGUUUGAGAGCGGUUAGUGGCGGACUGGUGAGUAACACGUAAGCAACCUGCCUAUUAGAGGGGAAUAACAGUGAGAAAUCAUUGCUAAUACCGCAUAUGCUAACAGUAUCGCAUGAUACAGUUAGGAAAGGAGUAAUCCGCUAAUAGAUGGGCUUGCGCCUGAUUAGCUAGUUGGUGGGGCAAUGGCCUACCAAGGCGACGAUCAGUAGCCGGACUGAGAGGUUGAACGGCCACAUUGGGACUGAGAUACGGCCCAGACUCCUACGGGAGGCAGCAGUCGGGAAUAUUGCGCAAUGGAGGAAACUCUGACGCAGUGACGCCGCGUAUAGGAAGAAGGUUUUCGGAUUGUAAACUAUUGUCGUUAGGGAAGAUACAAGACAGUACCUAAGGUGGAAGCCCCGGCUAACUAUGUGCCAGCAGCCGCGGUAAUACAUAGGGGGCAAGCGUUAUCCGGAAUUAUUGGGUGUAAAGGGUGCGUAGACGGAGGAGCAAGUUGGUUGUGAAAUCCCUCGGCUUAACUGAGGAACUGCAACCAAAACUACUUCCCUUGAGUGUCGGAGAGGAAAGUGGAAUUCCUAGUGUAGCGGUGAAAUGCGUAGAUAUUAGGAGGAACACCAGUGGCGAAGGCGACUUUCUGGACGAUAACUGACGUUGAGGCACGAAAGUGUGGGGAGCAAACAGGAUUAGAUACCCUGGUAGUCCACACCGUAAACGAUGGAUA
rnacentral:rRNA from 1 species